UUUUCUAGGUUUGUACUUUUAAACAGUUUUGUAGCCUGUUUCCAUCAAUGAGGGGCAAACCUUUAGAAAAGGUUUGGGUUUUUUGUUUGUUUCUGAGAGAUUUUCUUCAGUAUAGACUUUUAGCCACAAAAAAGCAGAGGCAUUAAAGUCGUUUUAUACUUGCAUAGGAAACAUAAACUUGGCUAGUGUGCUAUGCACUAGAUUUGCUUGCUGUGAGACCCUGUGAUUUAUUGGGGCUGAAGUCAGAUAACCAGCAGGAAGCCUUUCUGCUUUAGGGCGUUGGUUGGUACUCAACAAGCCUAUUGAAGAGACAAAAGUCACGAGUGCAGGCAAUGUGAUUACAUGGACUCCCUCACUGAAGGACAGACCUCUGCUGGAAGAAAGCCCUCAGAGAUUACUUGACUGGGAGAAACUGAUCAGCCAGAAUCAAAACGGAGACAGAAGUCCCAGAGCUGUCCUGGUGGCCUGUAAGGCUGCCAGGAAGUCUCCCAACUCCAGAGCUCAGCAUCAUGCCUUGCCUAAGCCCUCUGUCCUCCCCCUGUAGUGCUCAGCUGUGCUGCAAUUCCAGCUGCCCAGAGUGACUCUCUGAGUCAUUGCAGUCUCAGCACCACAUAAUCCUGACAGGGAUGUGAACAGAACAAGUUGAGGCUGCAGGGGGAAAUGCACACACGCCAAAAGAAAAGGGAAGCCAAAGUGGUAGGGAAGUGGUAAGUGUGGUCACUGAGCAAAAACAUGACACACCCAGAAAGUUGAGCAAGGAAAAAAUUGUCCUGUGUCCCUCCACAGUAGCAAUGCAGAGCUUUGAGUGUGACAGAGGGAGCACAACAUUCACGUGGAGAGGUCAUCACCUUCCCGACCAUGGAGAAGAGCAACCAGAGAGAACAAACUUUCAUUGAAAGGGAGGUGAAAGCUUCUAGCAGGUGAUGAUGAUGAUGAUGGACAUUCAGCAAACUUCAGGCUUAUUUAGAAAAACCAAAGGAAGUUUUCAAUAAUUUAUGCUGGAUCUUCUUAAUAAAUAGAAGUGAAGCUUAUUUUUGAACAUUGUAAUCACAGAAAAUGAUAAAGGGUCCCCUUCUAUCCCAAGAAUCAAGGAAAUGAAUAAAGCCUGCCAUGCUGCUUGCUCACAAUUUAGCACAUGGGUACCAAAAUAACAAAGCAUCUCCGACGGUAAUUUUGACCAGAGUGGCUGACCACCAUUAUGGGCUGUGGUCACACAUCAUGACCUUCCUGCAGCAGAGCCAAGUGAAGACACUGCCAGCCCUGCCCUGUUCCCAGCUUUUUAUCUGCAUUGUUUACUGGGGCCACAGACUUGUGGACCUGCUGGCAUAACUAUUCAGUCAGGUGCUCUCUGCUUCAAUAAAAGCAACUCAGAUGAGCUGAUAUGUCAUAAAUAUAAGGCCUUCUCUAGGCUGAGCUGUUGCAUCUCACUGGGUCCUGAGGUGAUCAAUCACCAACAUUUCCAGGGAUCUUGAACCUUACCAGCACUGCCAGGGAUCUCGAACCUCAGCUACCUCUGGCCAAGGAUUGUUACUUAAUGGAGAAGGGAGACCAACUCUUUGCCCCUCAUGCUGCUGAAUUCUAACAUCUCCAUGCUUUUCCCCUGACAACUCUCUCCCUACAAACUCUGCCUUUAAGUCAUGCUAAAAAUUUUCUGUGA